GAUGAAGAACGUAGCGAAAUGCGAUAAGUAAUGUGAAUUGCAGAAUUCAGUGAAUCAUCGAAUCUUUGAACGCACAUUGCGCCCGCCAGUAUUCUGGCGGGCAUGCCUGUUCGAGCGUCAUUACAACCCUCAGGCCCCCGGGCCUGGCGUUGGGGAUCGGCGGAGCCCCCCGUGGGCACACGCCGUCCCCCAAAUGCAGUGGCGGUCCCGCCGCAGCUUCCAUCGCGUAGUAGCUAACACCUCGCGACUGGACAGCGGCGCGGCCACGCCGUAAAACACCCAACUCUUCUGAAGUUGACCUCGAAUCAGGUAGGAAUACCCGCUGAACUUAAGCAUAUCAAUAAGCGGAGGA
rnacentral:misc_RNA from 1 species